GGGAUAGCCCAGAGAAAUUUGGAUUAAUACCCCAUGGCAUCCCGCCCCCGCAUGGGGCGCGGGAUUAAAGAUUCAUCGGUAAGAGAUGAGUAUGCGUUCUAUUAGCUAGUAGGUGCGGUAACGGCGCACCUAGGCCACGAUAGAUAGGGGCCCUGAGAGGGGGAUCCCCCACACUGGUACUGAGACACGGACCAGACUCCUACGGGAGGCAGCAGUGAGGAAUAUUGGACAAUGGGCGAGAGCCUGAUCCAGCCAUGCCGCGUGCAGGAAGACGGCCCUAUGGGUUGUAAACUGCUUUUGUACGGGAAGAAACACCCCCUCGUGAGGGGGCUUGACGGUACCGUAAGAAUAAGGAUCGGCUAACUCCGUGCCAGCAGCCGCGGUAAUACGGAGGAUCCGAGCGUUAUCCGGAAUCAUUGGGUUUAAAGGGUCCGUAGGUGGACGGUUAAGUCAGAGGUGAAAUCCUGCAGCUCAACUGUAGAAUUGCCUUUGAUACUGGUCGUCUUGAGUCAUUGUGAAGUGGUUGGAAUAUGUAGUGUAGCGGUGAAAUGCAUAGAUAUUACAUAGAACACCGAUUGCGAAGGCAGAUCACUAACAAUGUACUGACACUGAUGGACGAAAGCGUGGGGAGCGAACAGGAUUAGAUACCCUGGUAGUCCACGCCGUAAACGAUGGUCACUAGCUGUCCGGACUUCGGUCUGGGUGGCUAAGCGAAAGUGAUAAGUGACCCACCUGGGGAGUACGUUCGCAAGAAUGAAACUCAAAGGAAUUGACGGGGGCCCGCACAAGCGGUGGAGCAUGUGGUUUAAUUCGAUGAUACGCGAGGAACCUUACCAGGGCUUAAAUGUAGAUUGACAGGUCUAGAGAUAGAUUUUCCUUCGGGCAAUUUACAAGGUGCUGCAUGGUUGUCGUCAGCUCGUGCCGUGAGGUGUCAGGUUAAGUCCUAUAACGAGCGCAACCCCUGUUGUUAGUUGCCAGCGAGUGAUGUCGGGAACUCUAACAAGACUGCCGGUGCAAACCGUGAGGAAGGUGGGGAUGACGUCAAAUCAUCACGGCCCUUACGUCCUGGGCCACACACGUGCUACAAUGGCAGGUACAGAGAGCAGCCACACCGCGAGGUGG
rnacentral:rRNA from 1 species